UGAAUGACUCAAAUGAAGUUUACAUGCUAAACAUUCUUCUCCCACAUGUUUCAUAUAUCCAAUAUUCAUCUCUUUGAAUGAGUAUCCAGUUGAACUUUAAAAGAAAAAUUGUUCCAGAUGGACUUAAAUAGGCAAGAAAUACUUUUAUAUAAAAUUAUUGCAAUAGGAGUCAAGACCAUUGCAAUAAGGAUGAGAUUUUGAACUCAACUCUGCUGAGACAAAAGACAGGAGAGUUAAGUGCUGGGAUGAAAUGAUGCAAAAGUACUGGAGGGCAGGCCAUGAGGGAAGAGGUUGUCUGAUUAUGCCAUUGAUGGUUGCUAAUUGGUACUUAUAGAAUCAAAGUAGGCUCCUUCCUUCCCACAGAGACAGGAAGAUAUGGGUGCUAUUAUUCUUGAUGAUUUCAUGUCAAGGGGGUGGCUCUCAGGUCUUUGAAAAAGAUUCCAGGAUUUUAAAACUGGCCAGAGCUGAAGGAAUAUUUGCAUCUCAAAAGAGUCAGAGAACUAACUUACAAUUGCAAGUUUCUUAAAAUAAAUGCUCUAAGAAAAGGAGUCCAGGGACCUAGAGUCAGGAAGAAGCCUGAAGUUUAAUCAGGCUGAGGGAAAUGGUAAGGCCAUCUGGAUAAACAGAGAUGGUUCUCCUUUUCUCUCACUCUAUUAUAACUUCUAUCUCCCCACAACUGUUACAGGAUAACCAAGAAACCAAGUUAUAGGAA